UUGUUAUUGCCGAAUGUUGGAGAAAGAAAGAAGGAAAUAUACUUUGAGGAUUUCGGCAAUGAUCUAAGGUAGAACAAAAAGGGCUCUUUGAUUUUUGGCCUUGGUGAUUCUAAUUGGAGGUAUGUUUGAUUUUAUUUCUUGAUAAUUUAUGUGAAAUUAAGUUAAUUGCUAAGCUCCUUUCAUAGCCCAUGACUCAAUUUUUGUUAUUGGUUUGAAGUGAUGCAUUCGGCUAUGGGUUGUUGAGUGUCUUUGAAGGUGUUUGAUGUUUUUGGUAUUAAAAGUGAUGAUAGAUGAGUUGAGCUUGAUGAAUAAGGAUAAUUGUGGCUUAAUUGUUUAAUGGCAAUUGGCUAUUAUGGAGAAAUUAGUAAGGCCAGAAGGAGAUAGAAGUUGAAUAGUUGUCGUAUGUAGAUAGCAUGCAUGCUAAUAAUGUUUUUAUUUUCUACUUAAUACCUUAUUGAUUAUGAGUUAACAUGAAUGUUCAGUUGAACAUAUACCUUGAAUUAUGUUCAAAAAAAUUUAAUUGAUUAAUUGUACUCUUCUUUUUGCUUUUAAAUAUUCGAAAUAUUGAAGGUGAAAAGCUGGAAAAUUUCAAGUUGAAAUGUUGUCCAAAUGCUGGAAAUUUAGCAUGCAUAUUCUUUUAUUUUAAAUGCUUUGACCGGCUGUUGUAAACGAAGGAAAGUGUGAUUGUGGAUUAUUAAAUUUGACUAUUGAUUGGAAGUGUUUAAUGCUGACCAAAUGCUGAAAAUAUAACAUAUAAAUCCCUUUGAUUUAAAUUCCAUUAACUGCUGUUUUAAAGGAAGGGAACUUCGGUUCAAUGUUGUCAUUUUUUUUAUUUGGCUACUCAUUGUAAAGGUUAAAUGUUGACCGAAUGUUGGAAGUUAACUUGCAUCCUGUUCGGUUACUACAUGAGGGAGUUAGAAUUGAACUUAAGAUAGUUUAUUACUAAUUAAUUUGCUGCUGUGAUAUUGUAAAUUAGUGGCUGUCCAAAUUAGGAUAAAUUUAUGGUGCUUAGCUAAUUAAUAUGCUGCUGUAAUGCUGUAAAUUAUUGGCUGUCCAAAUUAGGACAAAAUCAUGGUGUUAUGUGCUAGCAUGAUAUGUAUGUGUGAUUUAGGUGAAAAAUGUUUAGAUGAUUUAUAAUAAUCGGCUAAUGUGUUUUUGUGGAUAUAGAUGCCGAAUGUAGACUUAAGAAAUUAUUUGGAAAAUUUGUUGUUUAUUUAGGUGAUAGAAAGUAUGAAAUAGUCUUAUGUGAUACGUGUAUAUAAGUAGAUGGAAAUGAAGUGUCGUAUAUUUUUUGUGUAUGGGAUUAAUUGCACUUUGAUUAUAAUGUGCAUGAUUAUUACUAUGUUUAAUAUGUGUGAAAGCCGAAUAUACCCAUGAUACAAUGCUUGAUUAGUUGAUUAACAAUAAGUUAAAUUUGUUUAAUUCAAGCUCAAGAGCAUAAGGAGCCAAUUUUGGAUAAAGGGAAAGCGAAACUAGUCGAUUAGUCAAUCUGUAAUUAUUCGAUAAAAUCCAAGAUAAGUUCUUAAGUGUUUGUGUUUGAUCAUGUUAUAUGCUUAAGAGUUGAAUAAUCAUAAUUAAGAAGAUGUUUGAUUGUGUAUAUAUAUAUACAUAUGUCCUUUGUGUUGAAUGAAUAUUAAAUUAAAGUUAUGAGCCGUAUGUGACUAGCACAUCUAGUCGACUUUGAUACUCUUAAAUUAUAUACUAAGAUAUGUGUUCCAAUGUGGAAUUUAAACCUUAUGUGGUUGAAAGGAUGAAAAUCUUUGUUCAUAGAUAUGUGUUUCAGUUAUAAGUAAUUGAAGUAUAAGUUAUGAAAGUAUGAAAGAACAGGUGAAUUGUUUUAUCGAAAUGUGAUAUUCGAGCCUCGGCCUAGCAAGCUUUAAGCUGGUGAAUAAUAUUAUCAGGCUUCGGGCCUAACUGGCUAUAAUGCCGAUGAGAUAAUAUCGGGUUUGGGCCUAGCAAGCUAUAAUGCCGGUGAAAUGAUAUCGGGCUUCAAGCCUAGCAGGCGAAAUGCCGGUGAAUGAGUUCAGACUUAAAGUCUAGCAGGCUCCGUGCCAGUGAUGAAUUCGGGUUUAAAACCUAGCAGGCUAAAUGCCGGUAAUUUGAUAAAAGUCUAAGACUAUGAAACCUUGUGUUAAAUCGGCAAUUAAAUUCGUUCAAAAAAAAUUAAGUUGGCCAGGUAUGUGAUACAUACUUAUACAUGUUAGAUCGAUUGGAAUUGAAUCAUGAAUGUGAAAUGAAAAGCAUAGGUGUGUAUUCGGUCAUGGUGAAAGGUUAUAUGAAUUAUGUGAAAUACCAUUUAGAUAUGAAUGACGAAAGUAACUGUGGUUAUGAAAUGGUACAAUGGUUAAAUUUGAUUGAGUUAAAGUUGACAUUGAAAUAUUUAAAUGCUUAUGUCAUAUAUGUGAAUAAGGGUAAAACCAUCGUAAAUUAUCGAUCAGGGUGGGCUAUGUGCGGAACCAUCUUAUAAUUGCCAUUUUAAUCGGUUGUGUGCGAAUCAUCGAGCAUGAUGUAUUGUAUUGAUAUUAUGCUUAAGUGAAAUUAUAGAUAUGUGAAGAAAUUGAUUGGUGAUGUACAUGUUUAAAUAAUAUGAAUACAAAGAAUGUGUGAAAGAGUAAAUUUGUAAUAAAUCUGCUUGGGACAGCAGCAGUAAUGUGAUUUUGGAAAAUCACCAUAAAUUAUGGGAGUUGAGUUAGAAGCUGAAUAAAUUAUGUAAUUAAAGCUUAAUGAGUCUAGUUUCUUAUAAAAGAAACCGUGUAAGCAAAAGAAUUUCUGAUACUGAGAUAAUUGAAGUGGCGUGGGACAGAGCCAAAUGACUUUAGGGUCCCCUGUUCUGUUUUUAUAAAAUCAUUAUAAUUUGUACAAAAAUGGUUAUAAGAUAAAAUUUAUAUGCCUAGACUCCAUAAUGAGUCUAGUUUCAAAUGAAAUCAAUGAGAACAUAUUUUGAAUUCUGUAUAAUGAUAAAUUUGAUUCGUAGUGAAGAGUGGUUAGAUUAGUCAAAUAGUGAAACAGGGAAACUUUAAGAAAAAUCUGGUAUUUAUUGGCCAAACCAAAAAUUUUUAAAAUUUUAUGGAUAGAAGAUAUAUGAAUCUAUUUUCAGGGAAAAUUAACGGCACUUGAUUUGGAGUUUCCUAGCUCCAUUUAUAAAUAAAUUAGUGACUGUUGCUCAGGAAGACAGAUUGUAGUGAAUUUGUGAUUUUGUUGUAAACAUUGAUAAAACUUGUUAAUGAGUUGCUUAUUGUUUUCAUAGGAACUUACUAAGCGUAAAGCUUACUCUCUCUUCCUUUCCCAUGUUCUCUAAGGUUUCAGGUUUGCUCGGGUUGGAGUUCGUUGGAGAUAUUAUCACACUGUCAAGCUAACGCUAUUGUUGUAGUGAUUUCAAGUACUUUGAGUCUAUGGCAUGAAUAGGAGUUUAAAUAUUAGAGUAUGUGAUAUGCCUUUAACCAUAUGUGUUGGCCUAUUUUUAUUAUGGGGUUGUAAAUCCAUUUUAAUUAUGCAUGUAUGUGCAAUGGUAUUACGUGAUGAGUUUAUAAUGAUUAUAGCAUGAAUGUAGUAAAG
rnacentral:lncRNA from 1 species